rnacentral:rRNA from 1 species
UUUUAUGGAGAGUUUGAUCCUGGCUCAGGAUGAACGCUGGCGGCGUGCCUAAUACAUGCAAGUCGAGCGAACGGACGAGAAGCUUGCUUCUCUGAUGUUAGCGGCGGACGGGUGAGUAACACGUGGAUAACCUGCCUAUAAGACUGGGAUAACUUCGGGAAACCGGAGCUAAUACCGGAUAAUAUUUUGAACCGCAUGGUUCAAAA